rnacentral:rRNA from 1 species
GAUGAACGCUGGCGGCGUGCCUAAUACAUGCAAGUCGAGCGAACAGACGAGGAGCUUGCUCCUCUGACGUUAGCGGCGGACGGGUGAGUAACACGUGGAUAACCUACCUAUAAGACUGGGAUAACUUCGGGAAACCGGAGCUAAUACCGGAUAAUAUAUUUAACCGCAUGGUUCAAUAGUGAAAGACGGUUUUGCUGUCACUUAUAGAUGGAUCCGCGCCGCAUUAGCUAGUUGGUAAGGUAACGGCUUACCAAGGCAACGAUGCGUAGCCGACCUGAGAGGGUGAUCGGCCACACUGGAACUGAGACACGGUCCAGACUCCUACGGGAGGCAGCAGUAGGGAAUCUUCCGCAAUGGGCGAAAGCCUGACGGAGCAACGCCGCGUGAGUGAUGAAGGUCUUCGGAUCGUAAAACUCUGUUAUUAGGGAAGAACAAAUGUGUAAGUAACUAUGCACGUCUUGACGGUUCCUAACCAGAAAGCCACGGCUAACUACGUG